GCGAUUCUCAGCAAUAAACCGAAGGCGAUGUCAGUAUCCCUGUGAACCCCUGUAAAAUCAGUCCUGAGAGACUUCAAACAGCUGCCUUGGCAUUAACCCAAGACGAGGGAGCGAGUGGUCCUCCAGGACCAGGAAGAAACCUCUGAAGACAUCAGGGAACACAGGAAAAGCAGAUUUCUUCGGCUCUUUCCCGGACUGCCCCGGCAUCCCCCUCGCAGAGGCUGGCUCAGAUUAG